UAAUAUUUGCAGCGAGGUUAAGGAACUGGAGUUCCGGAGCCGCAGCGAGAGCGAGUCUGAAAAGGGCGUAUGAAGUUGCAGGUAUUAGACCCGAAACCGGGUGACCUAUCCAUGAGCAGGCUGAAGCGGUGGUAAGACACCGUGGAGGGCCGCACCCACGUCUGUUGAAAAAGCCGGGGAUGACUUGUGGAUAGCGGAGAAAUUCCAAUCGAACUCGGAGAUAGCUGGUUCUCCCCGAAAUAGCUUUAGGGCUAGCGUUAUUUUAGAUUACCGGAGGUAAAGCACUGAAUGGUCUAGGGGCCGCGAGGUUACCAAAGCCUAUCAAACUCUGAAUGCCGGAUAAUUGAUGAAUAGCAGUCAGACUGUGUGAGAUAAGUCUCAUAGUCAAAAGGGAAACAGCCCAGAUCUACAGCUAAGGUCCCAAAUGAACACUAAGUGGAAAAUGAUGUGAAACUGCGAAGACAACCAGGAUGUUGGCUUAGAAGCAGCCACUCAUUCAAAGAGUGCGUAAUAGCUCACUGGUCGAGUGGUUUUGCGCAGAAAAUGUAACGGGGCUAAGUGUUCAACCGAAGCUUAGGCAUUGCAGUAAUGCAUUGGGUAGGGGAGCGUCGUAUGCGGGGCGAAGUCAGAGCGGAAGCACUGGUGGACUGCAUACGAGUGAGAAUGCCGGAAUAAGUAGCGAGAAUUAUGUGAGAAUCAUAAUGGCCGAAAAUCUAAGGUUUCUUGGGGAAGGUUCGUCCGCCCAAGGUUAGUCGGGAGCUAAGCUCAGGCCGAAAGGCGUAGGCGAUGCACAUACGGUAGAAAUUCCGUAACCACCGAACAUUUAAGCUAGAGGGACGCUUUCUUUAAGGUUAUCCCGGGCGAUGGUUGCCCCGGGCGUAAGGGACCGAAAUAUAGUAGGGAAGUAACUGGCGAGAGAGACGAGAAAAGCUCUGGUGUAUACUAAGGUGCCCGUACCGCAAACCGACACAGGUAGGUAGGAAGAAGAUUCUAAGGCCAACGGGAGAAGGGUUGUUAAGGAACUCGGCAAGUUGACCCCGUAACUUCGGAAUAAGGGGUGCUCACGAGAGUGAGCCGCAGAGAAUAGGCCCAGGCAACUGUUUACCAAAAACACAGGUUUGUGCUAAAUCGAAAGAUGACGUAUACGAGCUGACGCCUGCCCGGUGCUGGAAGGUUAAAAGGAGAUGUGCAAGCAUUGAAUUGAAGCCCCAGUAAACGGCGGCCGUAACUAUAACGGUCCUAAGGUAGCGAAAUUCCUUGUCAGGUAAGUUCUGACCCGCACGAAAGGCGUAAUGAUUUGGGCACUGUCUCAACAGCCCGCCCGGCGAAAUUGUAGUACCGGUGAAGAUGCCGGUUUCCCGCGACAAGACGGAAAGACCCCAUGGAGCUUUACUGUAGCCUGAUAUUGGGUUUCGGUGUUGCAUGCACAGGAUAGAUGGGACGCUAGGAAAGAAGCGCUUUGGCGUUUCUGGAGCGGACGUUGGGAUACCAUCCUUGCGACAUUGGAAUUCUAACCUGCGCCUCUGAAUCGAGGCGGGGGACAUUGUCAGGUGGGCAGUUUGACUGGGGCGGUCGCCUCCUAAAAAGUAGCGGAGGCGUUCAAAGGUUCGUUCGAUCUGGACGGAAACCAGAUGAUUGAGUGCAAACGCAUAAACGAGCCUGACUGCGAGACUGACGGGUCGAGCAGAGACGAAAGUCGGAGUUAGUGAUCCGGUGGUAUGUGAGUGGAAAUGCCAUCGCUCAACGGAUAAAAGUUACCCUGGGGAUAACAGGCUGAUCUCCCCCAAGAGUCCACAUCGACGGGGAGGUUUGGCACCUCGAUGUCGGCUCAUCGCAUCCUGGGGCUGAAGUAGGUCCCAAGGGUUGGGCUGUUCGCCCAUUAAAGCGGUACGCGAGCUGGGUUCAGAACGUCGUGAGACAGUUCGGUCCCUAUCUGUCGUGGGCGCAGGAUAUUUGAAAGGCGCUGUCCCUAGUACGAGAGGACCGGGAUGGACGAACCUCUGGUGCACCAGUUGUCACGCCAGUGGCACAGCUGGGCAGCUAUGUUCGGAUCGGAUAAACGCUGAAAGCAUCUAAGCGUGAAGCCGGCCUUAAGAUAAGAUAUCCCACUGAGUCAAUCAGGUAAGACCCCUUGAAGACUACAAGGUUGAUAGGCACACAGUGUAAGCGGAGUGAUUCGUUCAGCUAGCGUGUACUAAUAGGUCGAGGGCUUGACCCC
rnacentral:rRNA from 1 species